rnacentral:rRNA from 1 species
ACCGAGAUUCCCUCAGUAGCGGCGAGCGAACGGGGAGGAGCCCAGAGCCUGAAUCAGCAUGUGUGUUAGUGGAAGCGUCUGGAAAGGCGCGCGAUACAGGGUGACAGCCCCGUACACAAAAGCGCAUGUGCUGUGAGCUCGAUGAGUAGGGCGGGACACGUGGUAUCCUGUCUGAAUAUGGGGGGACCAUCCUCCAAGGCUAAAUACUCCUGACUGACCGAUAGUGAACCAGUACCGUGAGGGAAAGGCGAAAAG